UACGGGGGGGGCAAGCGUUGUUCGGAAUUACUGGGCGUAAAGGGCUCGUAGGUGGCCAACUAAGUCAGACGUGAAAUCCCUCGGCUUAACCGGGGAACUGCGUCUGAUACUGGAUGGCUUGAGUUCGGGAGAGGGAUGCGGAAUUCCAGGUGUAGCGGUGAAAUGCGUAGAUAAUCUGGAGGAACACCGGUGGCGAAGGCGGCAUCCUGGACCGAUACUGACGCUGAGGAGCGAAAGCCAGGGGAGCAAACGGG
rnacentral:rRNA from 1 species